UGAGGAAUAUUGCGCAAUGGGCGAAAGCCUGACGCAGCGACGCCGCGUGGAGGAUGACGGUCUUAGGAUUGUAAACUCCUGUUAAGUGGGAAGAAAACUCAAUCUCUAAUAUAGAUUGAGUAUGACGGUACCACUAGAGAAAGCACCGGCUAACUUCGUGCCAGCAGCCGCGGUAAUACGAGGGGUGCAAACGUUAUUCGGAUUUACUGGGCGUAAAGGGUGUGUAGACGGCAUGCUAAGUUCGUUGUUAAAUCUUCCGGCCUAACUGGAAGCUUGCGAUGGAAACUGGCACGCUAGAGGAUGGAAGAGAGAAGCGGAAUUCUCGGAGUAGCGGUAAAAUGCGUAGAUCUCGAGAGGAACACCGAUGGCGAAGGCAGCUUCUUGGUCCAAUCCUGACGUUGAGACACGAAAGCGUGGGUAGCAAACAGG
rnacentral:rRNA from 1 species